UACGGAGGGGGCUAGCGUUGUUCGGAAUUACUGGGCGUAAAGCGCACGUAGGCGGCUUUCUAAGUCAGGGGUGAAAUCCUGGAGCUCAACUCCAGAACUGCCUUUGAUACUGGCGAGCUUGAGUUCGGGAGAGGUGAGUGGAACUGCGAGUGUAGAGGUGAAAUUCGUAGAUAUUCGCAAGAACACCAGUGGCGAAGGCGGCUCACUGGCCCGAUACUGACGCUGAGGUGCGAAAGCGUGGGGAGCGAACAGG
rnacentral:rRNA from 1 species